CUAAAUUGUAAUCGAACAGACAUGGUGGGCUGGACUUUGUUUAUGGGCCCAACCAAACUCCCAUCUCUGUGUGUCUAACAUAUGAAAAUAUCAGAUUCCAAGCUCCAUCGUCAAUAAGAUGAGAUCUCCUUCUUCUUCUUCAAGUUCCUCUUCACAAUUGUGGGGCUGUUUCUUUGUCACAAUCGGUUCAGUCUUCUUCGUGGGGUUUCUCUUCGCCGCCGUUAUAUCCAAGCUCCUCCCUCCAUCGCGUAACGCUCUAAUUUCCUCCAUUCAAAACGACUGGUAUUACUGCUUCUUAGUGCCCUUGACUCUUCCUGUCCUUGUGGUUGCUGUAUAUUUCCAUUGGAUCAGCAUGAAAUUGUUCAAGCACGCAUGACUUUGUCUUGAGCUCAUCAGGUUGAUUUAUUGCCUUGACAAAAAGUAUAUAGCAGCUGAGGCUGCCUUGGCACUUGGUAGUUGGUAGUUGAAGAUCGUGGGGACCUACAAGUACAACCUUCCCAUUUGUAUUUACCCUUGGCAUAUAACCUAGCAUUUUGCCAAACAUUUGUAUUGAUAGCACAUUGCCUUAUUUGAAAAUGACCUGCUCGUUUUUUGUACUCACAAUUGUCAUGUAAUUUCCUUCCUACCCUAAUUCAGAAAGGCAAGACCUGCUUUUAGAUUGCCUUUCCAUAUUUUUUUUCCCUGAGCCGUGUCCAAUGAUGUUGGAGUAACUGGAUCAUUAAAUUUUGGAUGGAAUUUCCACAUUUUGGGUCUUAGCGACAAUUACUGCACAAGGAUAAUGGCUAGGAGGAGGAUUGAAAGGCAUUCUAGCAUUAAGCUUUCCAGGAUUUAGAGUUUGGUUGUUUUUGUCUCUGUAUUAUAUACAAUUGUAAUUUAUUGGCUUUUCAACAUGGCAAUUGUGCAUUUGAACAAACCUUAUAUAAUCCAUGUUCAAAUUAGAUUGAAAUUAAACCGUAUUCCUUUUCAAUGCCAAUUUAAACUCUUCUCACUCAAA